AAGAAGUCAGGCCGGAUUAAGCCAUAGUACGGUAAGAGCUAUGCUGCCUGUGAGCCCCGUCUAAGGACGUAAAAUGAAGUCAGGCCGAAAGCCACGGCUUGAGCAAACCGUGCUGCCUGUAGCUCCAUCGUGGGGAUGUAAAAACCUGGGAGGCUGCAACCCAUGGAAGCUGUACGCAUGGGGUAGCAGACUAGUGGUUAGAGGAGACCCCUCCCGAAACAUAACGCAGCAGCGGGGCCCAACACCAGGGGAAGCUGUACCCUGGUGGUAAGGACUAGAGGUUAGAGGAGACCCCCCGCAUAACAAUAAACAGCAUAUUGACGCUGGGA
rnacentral:lncRNA from 1 species